UGCCCUGACGACUGGUUUGGUCUGCAAAGCUGCUCUUUAGCUCACUCUGCUGUAACACAUCUGUGAACUUUAGCUGCUCAUUAAUGUAUACAUAUCAUAAUAAAGCUCGCCUAUUAACAGUCCUAAUGUCGCUUCGUUUGGCGCUAUCAGUUGUUUCCCCGACUUCCAUACUAUAAGCUGUGGCCUGAAUGCUCGCUUAAAGCCACCAAGCUAAUGUUUUCUGUCCUGCUUGGAGCCACUCACUGCAACCCUUCCCGGAGACACUUCACCGAUUGGCAACAUGCUCCAUCCACGCUCCUCUUCCUCCCAAACCUCCCCCCCACCCUUCGUCCAUGAGGCAUCUCACGAGUGGCAACGACGAACCCCACCUGGCAUACUGGUGACGGCGCCAUCUGGUCGCGGCCAAGGCUCGCCAUCGGGCCCGCAGUCAGUACCCACAGUGCCAGUGUGGUGUUGUUUAAUGAGCGCAUAUGAGCAAACAUUUGACUGCCAGGUGGCGUUGCCGCCACACCAUGCCGACCAGGCAGGGUUCUGCCAUUGCCGUUCAAACCCGAGGGCAUCAAAGGGGGGCCUUGGAUUUCCAAAACUCUGCACACAGCCUCCGCUGAUCUGACGAUGGAUUUUUGGCUCUUGGUACACCUGCCCAAGAUGUUUACUCUGGAUUGACACUUAGCCUGCUGGGAGGAUAGGGUUGUAGAGACAGACUUGAGUCUGUUCCACAUUCCCUCAUCUUAACAACCUGUUCACGGAAUAUAUCAAAUAAGUGGACCGUCCAUAAUACGAUAAACAUACUUAUAUUAUCAGUGUUGGUAUAUAAAUUUCAAAUAUUAUAAACCAAAGUGUUUCUGUGCUAUAAAUGAUUGCCAUAACAAAUGAUUUAAAAUGCACAUAUUACAUAUGGAGGACACAUGUGUAUUCCUCCACAGACACAUAUGACCAAAUGUGCCCAUGCACUUUCAUAGACUCAAACACACACACACACACACACACACACACACACACACACACACACACACACACACACACACACACACACACACACACACACACACACACACACACACACACAGGUGGGACAUCUCAUCUUAGUCAUUCUUGUAGAUGGCAGACUUUCAUAGAAUCCAUCUGCAAAUUCAUCCAGCCACACUGGAAAAACGUCACUACUUCUGCAUAUGACUGUGGAUGUAGUAUGCCAGUAUGCACAUUUCUAAUGUGUUAAAGAUCAAAUUUGGAUCCAGGAAAAGAUAUAUUAUAAUCAGACUGAACAGACCAAACACAAAUGAAAACUUUAAUUUCAGUGGAAUCAAGUUACAUUGUGUCUUUUGGUUUUAGUUGUCAAGACUGAUUUGAAGACGGUCUCUUAACUCCCAUUUCCCCAAACUGGAUCCCCACUGGGUCCAAAUGGGACUGUUGUGUAGCUACCUUGACCUCUGCUCUGUCUGUAGAAACUGCCUGGUGACAAUAUUGACACUGUCCAAAUGCAUAACUACGUUUUAUAUGAGGACAGUAUAUGUUCACAUUAAAAUAUAACAAAAUGCAUACAGAUUAAUGACUUGAUUUUUGCAUUUGGUAUAGAUAGACAUUGUUGACAGUGCACAAGGAUAUUAGGAGACUAACACAGUUACAAAUCAAUGCAAAUUCAGAAUUGUUUUUGUUUUGUUUUUCAAAAUUGCAACUGUGUAAAAAUUGUGCAGAAAUGUAGCCUACACUUAUUUAUUACUGCCAAAUUAAUAAUAAUAAAUAUUUAACGGUGCACAGCACUUGUAGCAUAAAAUAUGGCAUUGAUCAAGAUAGACUGUUUCGUCUAUAAAUUACUCACGCUGAUAAAGUAUCACAACAGAAUUUUUUCCCCUUUUGUUUGUGGUGUUGUUCCUCAUAUCAAUACAUAUUGUGUCACGCAUUGCCUGAUUAGGGUGGGUUUUUGCUGAUUAAUUCAUCCUUUCAAUACGCUGAUUUAUCCUAGAGAAUAUGUAUACAAUGGGUCAUCCUGCUUCAAGAGAUGC